CCCUUAGAUGUUCUGGGCCGCACGCGCGCUACACUGUUCGACGCAGCGAGUCUUAACCUUGACCGAAAGGUUUGGGUAAUCUUCAGCAAAGUCGAACGUGAUGGGGAUCGAUCAUUGCAAUUAUUGAUCGUGAACGAGGAAUUCCUAGUAAGUGCAAGUCAUCAGCUUGCGCCGAUUACGUCCCUGCCCUUUGUACACACCGCCCGUCGCUACUACCGAUUGAAUGGUUUAGUGAGAUCUCUGGAUUGACGCUGGCUAGGGGGCGACCCUUGGCCAGACUGCUCGAGAAACUGCUCAAACUUGAUCAUUUAGAGGAAGUAAAAGUCGUAACA
rnacentral:rRNA from 1 species